GACGAACGCUGGCGGCGUGCCUAAUACAUGCAAGUUGAGCGCUGAAGGUUGGUACUUGUACCAACUGGAUGAGCAGCGAACGGGUGAGUAACGCGUGGGGAAUCUGCUUUUGAGCGGGGGACAACAUUUGGAAACGAAUGCUAAUACCGCAUAAAAACUUUAAACACAAGUUUUAAGUUUGAAAGAUGCAAUUGCAUCAUUCAAAGAUGAUCCCGCGUUGUAUUAGCUAGUUGGUGAGGUAAAGGCUCACCAAGGCGAUGAUACAUAGCCGACCUGAGAGGGUGGUCGGCCACAUUGGGACGGAGACACGCCCCAAACUCCUACGGGAGGCAGCAGUAGGGAUACUUCGGCAAGGAGCGAAAGUCUGACCGAGCAACGCCGCGUGAGUGAAGAAGGUUUUCGGAUCGUAAAACUCUGUUGGUAGAGAAGAACGUUGGUGAGAGUGGAAAGCUCAUCAAGUGACGGUAACUACCCAGAAAGGGACGGCUAACUACGUG
rnacentral:rRNA from 1 species